rnacentral:rRNA from 1 species
GCAAGUCGAGGGGUAACAGGGAAGCUUGCUUCCGCUGACGACCGGCGCACGGGUGCGUAACGCGUAUAGAACCUACCUUUUACUGAGGGAUAGCCUUUAGAAAUGAAGAUUAAUACCUCAUAGUAUUUUAGAUUGGCAUCAAUUUAGAAUUAAAGAUUUAUUGGUAAAAGAUGGCUAUGCGUGAUAUUAGCUAGUUGGUAAGGUAAUGGCUUACCAAGGCUACGAUAUCUAGGGGUCCUGAGAGGGAGAUC